ACGGCGAGUGAAGCGGCAAAAGCUCAAAUUUGAAAUCCUGCGGGAAUUGUAAUUUGAAGGUUUCGUGGUCUGAGUCGGCCGCGCCCAAGUCCAUUGGAACAUGGCGCCUGGGAGGGUGAGAGCCCCGUAUGGCGCACGCCGACUCUUUGUACACCGCGGCUCCGACGAGUCGAGUUGUUUGGGAAUGCAGCUCUAAGUGGGUGGUAAAUUCCAUCUAAAGCUAAAUAUUGGCGAGAGACCGAUAGCGAACAAGUACAGUGAUGGAAAGAUGAAAAGCACUUUGAAAAGAGAGUGAAACAGCACGUGAAAUUGUUGAAAGGGAAGGGCUUGCAAGCAGACACGGUUUUACCGGGCCAGCGUCGAAAAGGGGGGAGGAACAAGAACUCGAGAAUGUGGCGCGCACCUUCGGGCGCGCGUGUUAUAGCUCGUGUUGACGCCUCCAUCCCUUUUCGAGGCCUGCGAUUCUAGGACGCUGGCGUAAUGGUUGCAAGCCGC
rnacentral:rRNA from 1 species